AUUGAACGCUGGCGGCAGGCUUAACACAUGCAAGUCGAGCGGGGGAAGGUAGCUUGCUACCGGACCUAGCGGCGGACGGGUGAGUAAUGCUUAGGAAUCUGCCUAUUAGUGGGGGACAACAUCUCGAAAGGGAUGCUAAUACCGCAUACGUCCUACGGGAGAAAGCAGGGGAUCUUCGGACCUUGCGCUAAUAGAUGAGCCUAAGUCGGAUUAGCUAGUUGGUGGGGUAAAGGCCUACCAAGGCGACGAUCUGUAGCGGGUCUGAGAGGAUGAUCCGCCACACUGGGACUGAGACACGGCCCAGACUCCUACGGGAGGCAGCAGUGGGGAAUAUUGGACAAUGGGGGGAACCCUGAUCCAGCCAUGCCGCGUGUGUGAAGAAGGCCUUAUGGUUGUAAAGCACUUUAAGCGAGGAGGAGGCUACUUUAGUUAAUACCUAGAGAUAGUGGACGUUACUCGCAGAAUAAGCACCGGCUAACUCUGUGCCAGCAGCCGCGGUAAUACAGAGGGUGCGAGCGUUAAUC
rnacentral:rRNA from 1 species